rnacentral:rRNA from 1 species
UGAACGCUGGCGGCGUGCUUAACACAUGCAAGUCGAACGAACCUUCGGGUUAGUGGCGGACGGGUGAGUAACGCGUGAGAAUCUGCCCUCAGGAGGGGGAUAACGGUUGGAAACGACCGCUAAUACCCCAUAUGCCGCGAGGUGAAAUGAAUUUCGCCUGAGGAUGAGCUCGCGUCUGAUUAGCUAGUUGGUGGGGUAAAGGCUUACCAAGGCAUCGAUCAGUAGCUGGUCUGAGAGGAUGAUCAGCCACACUGGGACUGAGACACGGCCCAGACUCCUACGGGAGGCAGCAGUGGGGAAUUUUCCGCAAUGGGCGAAAGCCUGACGGAGCAACGCCGCGUGAGGGAUGAAGGCCUCUGGGCUGUAAACCUCUUUUAUCAAGGAAGAAGAUCUGACGGUACUUGAGGAAUAA